CUCAUGCAACAGGGAUUAGGAUUUUGUGGAUGAGGAAGAUGAGGAGGAGGAGGUUGAGGAUAACGCACAGCAGGCAAGUGGAGAAUCCCUUCUCCCCAGCAGCCAGGAACUGUUCAUCACCCUGGAGCCAAUAACCUCCCAAGGUGGGCUACCGGACCAUGAAGCUGGAGAAGGCACCUCUGCUGAAAAUGUUUCUAUGCUCCCCCUCUCAUCUCCGUCACAAAGGCUAGCGCAGAUUAGAAGGC